UACAGAGGUGCCAAGCGUUAGGCGGAAUCACUGGGCUUAAAGCGCGUGUAGGCGGGUCGUUAAGUGUCUUGUGAAAUCCCACGGCUCAACCGUGGAACUGCUGGGCAUACUGACGAUCUUGAGGCACUCAGGGGCCGUCGGAACAAAUGGUGGAGCGGUGAAAUGCGUAGAUAUAGGAAGGAAUACCAGUGGCGAAGGCGGCCUCCUGGAUCGAUACUGACGCUGAGGCGCGAAAGCGUGGGGAGCAAACAGG
rnacentral:rRNA from 1 species